UAACUGGAUCAUGACAGGCUUAAAAUAGUGCAGUUAUAAAUAAAAAAAUGGCAUAUUCUUGGAUCUGUGACCCAGAAAAUGAAUUUUCAGAAGAGCAACCACCUUCUCUAGUAAUAAUGUCUCUGAAUUAACUGUGAAGAGGUGGAUGAGUUAACCACACAAGGACACUGACCAAGAGUUUUGUCACUGAAAUUCAUAGCAAACUCAAGAAAUAAAAACCACUUCGAUAGUUUUAUCUGCAUCAGUCUACUAGGAUUCACAGAGCAACCAUCAUGUCAUAGAAGCAAAAAGAAAAAAAUCAACCUACUUUUACAGAAAUAAAUUACAGCUCAGUGC